ACACACACACACACACACACACACACACACACACACACACACACACACACACACACACACACAACCCCAUUCAAAACAAAGGUAAUCAUUUGCAGAGCAGCAUGAUGGCAUCAUCCUAUUCUUCACCCUCUGACCCUCCUCCUCCUCCUCCUGGCUCUCCUCCGGUCUCUCCUCCGAGUCUCUGCUCCCCUCCGGUCUCUCCUCCGAGUCUCUGCUCCCCUCUGGUCUCUCCUCAGAGUCUCUGCUCCCCUCUGGUCUCUCCUCAGAGUCUCUGCUCCCCUCUGGUCUCUCCUCAGUCUCUGCUGCCCGCGGGUCUCUCCUCAGAGUCUCUGCUCCCCUCUGGUCUCUCCUCAGAGUCUCUGCUCCCCUCUGGUCUCUCCUCAGUCUCUGCUCCCCGCUGGUCUCUCCUCAGUCUCUGCUGCCCGCUGGUCUCUCCUCAGUCUCUGCUGCCCGCUGGUCUCUCCUCAGUCUCUGCUGCCCGCUGGUCUCUCCUCAGUCUCUGCUGCCCGCUGGUCUCUCCUCAGUCUCUGCUGCCCGCUGGUCUCUCCUCAGUCUCUGCUGCCCGCUGGUCUCUCCUCAGUCUCUGCUCCCCGCUGGUCUCUCCUCAGUCUCUGCGGCCCGCUGGUCUCUCCUCAGAGUCUCUGCUGCCCGCUGGUCUCUCCUCAGAGUCUCUGCUGCCUGCUGGUCUCUCCUCAGAGUCUCUGCUGCCCGCGGGUCUCUCCUCAGUCUCUGCUGCCCGCUGGUCACUCCAACGUCUCUAUGGAAAUAAGUGAGGAUCGAUAAUUCGUGGAGGCCGGACGUGCGGUGGUUUAACGACGUCUAACGGACAAAUCAGGAGAUAUUAGGCUAGUUUAGCCCUGCUGAGAGAGCAAGCCCUCAAGGGGCUGACUUGAUUGACGUGUGUGUGUGUGUGUGUCUGUGUGCACGUGUAUAUGGCUGUGUGUGUGUGUGUGUGUGUGUGUGUGUGUGUGUGCACGUGUAUAUGGCUGUGUGUGUGUGUGUAUGGCUGCGUCUGUGUGUAUAUGUCUGUGUGUAUAUGGCUGCGUGUGCGUUGCUGUGUGUGUGUUUGUGAUAAGUAGUGGCGGAAGGAUCAGUGGUUUCCAUGGUUAUAUUCACACCUCCCUGCUUUUUAAAUGUCAACAGGAAAUGACAUCCAGAGUUUAUGCACAUAUGUACUGGUGCAAAUCUGCAUACAAUACUAUUUUGAAAAAAUAGGAUUUUUUUCCGUCUGGUUGGUUGGAUGUGGCCUUGGCGAGGCCCUAUAGGAGGAGGGGAAUGGAGUCAUGCUGUGUUGUGAUUGGUUGGAACGUGUUUGAACAUGUAUCUGCUCUAGAGGAAGACAUAUUGUCUGGAUUCAGGUGUAAACGGUCAACAAUGAACGGCGUUCUUUGCAACACAUCGUUAAAACUGUGAAUAAUCAGACAUCAGAAUUACAGCAGAUGGAAAGAUAGAUUUCCCUUCGGGAA
ensembl:lncRNA